UUAUAUUGUCUUCGACAGGGAAGAUGACAUAAAAAUUAUGUUCAAUAGGAUUA
rnacentral:snoRNA from 1 species